CGUGCUACGAAGACUUGAUUGAGCUCAAGAGUGAUCACAAUCACAAGAUCGUAGAGAUCACAGACAACACAGGGAAAUGUCUUCUUGAUGAAUAUAUAGUAGAUGAACCUUCGUGUUCAACGGCUGAGGAAAAGAGCAAUCGAGAUACUGAGUAUUGAGUCCAUUGAGGAAUUUCGAGCUCCAGCAUCUGAGGAGUUACUGAGAGCGUUUCAAGAUGGGAAACUGUUUAAACAGGCAAAUGGUGAUGCAAAGCAGCAGCAACAACACCUUAUACGUGCUUCCUCUCUUUAUGAAGCAGCUGUGUCGGACUCGAGAUCUCCCCUCUCUGCUGUAAACUGACACGCCAAGAGGAUUGGUUUUACAGAAGCACAAGAGAAGAAGGUUAUUAUUGUUGCACUACAGGUAAAAAAGUAUCUUAUUUUCUUCAUGGAGGUUUGGUUUGAGGAAUUUAUAAAAGCAUACAUUUUUCAUUAUAUUUUUAUUUGUUUAUUAGCUGGAACCAAAGCAAAAUUAUUUCUGAAUCAGUAAGAUUAUGAGUCGUGUCAAUUAUAAUUACAAGCAAGUCCGUUAGGUUUUA